GCGUGUUUUAUUUCUGUUUAUGUUUUGCUAGCAGAAACUAGAGUGAAAAGAAUCCGUUGUUAAUCCAGCGAUCUGAACGAAUCUUCAAAAUCUGUGCUUGAUCGUAAUCCAUUGCAGUCAUUUUCCGUUGACGAAGGGCCGGAAUGGAAGUUUCGGCAAGUUCCCGGACAGCAGAAGACGAACAUUUAUUCUCCAAUGUUCGCAAGGACUAGACUCAAGCCAGAACCAGGGAGAGAAGGCGAAUCAGACGAAUCCGAUGUUUUCUUCGGUUUUCAUUUCGACGCCCACAUCCGUAAGGAUGGUGAUUCGGGAGCAUGUUAGCGGUUAUCAGUAUAAUAGUGACAAAGUGCAAAAGAUUUUAAAAGUAGCGCAUGAAAAUCUACCAAGGGUUCAUUCACAAAUUGGUUGUUAAGAUGGUCGAAAUUGACAUAAGAGUUCGUAUCGACGAACAGAUGUGCAUUAUUUGAUUGUAACUUAUCAAAUAAACUGUUAGGUGAAUAAAACUCAGUUUGUUUACAUUUGUCAGUUGGGCCGUUGUUCUAGUAUUGUAUUGAAUUUUUAUUGUAGAAAAAAAGCUUUUUUACGCGGAAAUGGAAACGCAGCCAUAUAACCAGUUUUUGUUGGACCAACCUAUGUCACCAUAGGAAAAAAUAAGAUCUAUAUGGAUCAAUAUAAGAGUUGGACCAUUCUAAUUUUCAAAAAUACCAAGCAAGGGCCUUGCUAACACAAACAACUCUGGAGAAGACCGUUUUCAUCUAAUGUUUCCCGUCGAAAAUUGAAGAUUUGAAGCUUGCUGUGUGUAGUGAAUCUCGCCUCUUUGCAUGCAAGUGAAACUUGAAGCUUGCUUGGCGCUUAAGCGAAGUAGUUAAUCCAACCGAUUAAGGUUCGAAUCCAGUAAUUCGUUACAAAUGUAUAACAAAAGGUUGAAUUACAAAAGGUCGAAUGAACAAAAGGUCGAAAAGAAAAAAAAGGUCGAAUGGACAAAACGUCGAAAGACAAGAUGUCGGUACAUAUUUAGAUUUUUCACGGAGAACUCAAUGCCCUUAUUAAUGAUAAUUGAUUUUUUU